rfam:Salmo salar isolate Sally breed double haploid chromosome ssa15, whole genome shotgun sequence.
UACAUUCACUACUGUAAGUCGCUCUGGAUAAGAGUGUCUGCUAAAUGACUGAAA